rnacentral:rRNA from 1 species
CAUCCUACGGGGGGCAGCAGUGGGGAAUAUUGGACAAUGGGGGAAACCCUGAUCCAGCGACGCCGCGUGAGUGAAGAAGUAUUUCGGUACGUAAAGCUCUAUCAGCAGGAAAGAAAAUGACGGUACCUGACUAAGAAGCCCCGGCUAACUACGUGCCAGCAGCCGCGGUAAUACGUAGGGGGCAAGCGUUAUCCGGAUUUAUUGGGUUUAAAGGGUGCGUAGGCGGAAUAUCAAGUCAGCGGUAAAAAUUCGGGGCUCAACCCCGUCGUGCCGUUGAAACUGAUGUUCUUGAGUGGGCGAGAAGU